rnacentral:lncRNA from 1 species
GGAUCAUUGAAAGGCUAGAUGUCAGAAGACAAAAGAUGGGUUUUAGUAGUUUUCUCUAUGAAGAUGACAAUGAAACGAAGUGUCUUGCCGACAGAAAUGCUUCUGUAGAGACUAAUAAGGAUACUUUCCAUCUAUCCCUUGUAAGCAUGGAGAAGCAGAUAUACGAAUUUUUGUCCAUGUUCGGCCUGAGUAUGAAAAUUGUUGUAGGACGG